ACAUGAAUUACACAGGGAUUUUGUAGAGUUGCAGGCUCUGUGUUGGUAGGUUUGGGGUGGGAUCUGAGAUCCUGAAUUGCUAAUAAGCUCCUAAGUAAUGCCGAU
rnacentral:pre_miRNA from 1 species